UUAACUGCAGUCGACGGUAACAGGGAGCUUGCUCCGCUGACGAGUGGCGAACGGGUGAGUAAUAUAUCGGAACGUACCUAGUAAUGGGGGAUAACUAGUCGAAAGAUUAGCUAAUACCGCAUACGCCCUAAGGGGGAAAGAGGGGGAUCGCAAGACCUCUUGUUAUUAGAGCGGCCGAUAUCUGAUUAGCUAGUUGGUGAGGUAAAGGCUCACCAAGGCGACGAUCAGUAGCUGGUCUGAGAGGACGACCAGCCACACUGGAACUGAGACACGGUCCAGACUCCUACGGGAGGCAGCAGUGGGGAAUUUUGGACAAUGGGGGCAACCCUGAUCCAGCAAUGCCGCGUGAGUGAAGAAGGCCUUCGGGUUGUAAAGCUCUUUUGUCAGGGAAGAAACGGUGCGGGCUAAUAUCCUGUGCUAAUGACGGUACCUGAAGAAUAAGCACCGGCUAACUACGUGCCAGCAGCCGCGGUAAUACGUAGGGUGCAAGCGUUAAUCGGAAUUACUGGGCGUAAAGCGUGCGCAGGCGGUUGUGUAAGACAGGUGUGAAAUCCCCGGGCUUAACCUGGGAAUGGCAUUUGUGACUGCACGGCUAGAGUGUGUCAGAGGGGGGUAGAAUUCCACGUGUAGCAGUGAAAUGCGUAGAGAUGUGGAGGAAUACCGAUGGCGAAGGCAGCCCCCUGGGAUAACACUGACGCUCAUGCACGAAAGCGUGGGGAGCAAACAGGAUUAGAUACCCUGGUAGUCCACGCCCUAAACGAUGUCUACUAGUUGUCGGGUCUUAAUUGACUUGGUAACGCAGCUAACGCGUGAAGUAGACCGCCUGGGGAGUACGGUCGCAAGAUUAAAACUCAAUAAA
rnacentral:rRNA from 1 species